UACAUUCAAAAUAUUCUUCAAUUGAAUUAAUGUGACAACAAAACUUUUUUUUUCCUAUUUUAAAUUACCAAGUAAUACAUACUUGUCAAAUUCAUCAUCAUCUAAUUCAACAUAGUCAAAAUAUUCCUGACAAAUAUACAUGUAAAAGGCAUAACCUCCUCCACGUACUUACCUAUCACGUACACUUAGAUUCCUAUUAACAUACACUAUACCAUAGUGAAUAACAAAGAUGUUCUUAUAGAUGCGUUUUAAUUUUAGCUGUUAUGUCUUUAUGAGUAUAAUGGCAUAAAUCUCGCUU
rnacentral:lncRNA from 1 species